rnacentral:misc_RNA from 1 species
UCCGGUUUGGCACCGGCAGUCUCUCUAGAGUGCCCGGCUUUACCCGCUGGUAACUAGAGACGGGGGUUGCGCUCGUUGCGGGACUUAACCCAACAUCUCACGACACGAGCUGACGACAGCCAUGCAGCACCUGUGCGCGGACUCCGAAGAGGGCGCCCCGUUUCUGGGGCGUUUCCCGCGCAUGUCAAGCCCAGGUAAGGUUCUUCGCGUUGCGUCGAAUUAAACCACAUGCUCCACCGCUUGUGCGGGCCCCCGUCAAUUCCUUUGAGUUUCAACCUUGCGGUCGUACUCCCCAGGCGGGGUACUUCCUGCGUUAGCGCCGGCACCCAGAGGGUCGCUCCCCCAGGCACCUAGUACCCAUCGUUUACGGCGUGGACUAC